rnacentral:rRNA from 1 species
CCUACGGGGGGCAGCAGUAGGGAAUAUUGCUCAAUGGGGGAAACCCUGAAGCAGCAACGCCGCGUGGAGGAUGACGGUUUUAGGAUUGUAAACUUCUUUUGUUAGAGAAGAUUAUGACGGUAUCUAACGAAUAAGCACCGGCUAACGUCGUGCCAGCAGCCGCGGUAAUACGGAGGGUGUAAGCGUUACUCGGAAUCACUGGGCGUAAAGAGUGCGUAGGCGGGGUAAUAAGUCAGAGGUGAAAUCCUGUAGCUUAACUACAGAACUGCAUUUGAAACUGUUACUCUGGAGUGUGGGAGAGGUAGGUGGAAUUCUUGGUGUAGGGGUAAAAUGCGUAGAGAUCAAGAGGAAUACUCAUUGCGAAGGCGACCUGCUGGAACAUUACUGACGCUGAUGCACGAAAGCGUGGGGAGCAAACAGGAUUAGAUACCCGGGUAGUC